AAAAUAUGUUUAAUUCAAAUUUGGAAUAAAUUUAAUGAAUUAUAUAAUAAAAAAAAUGAAGCUUCGCUUAGAAUAAAUAUGCACGUUUUCUGUUUGGUUACUGUAUAAUGUGUUGCAUAAUCAAAGUUUGAUGAACUUUGUUCCAUCUGAUGUUGUGAUGUUAAUGUGUCUGGUUUUGUAGAAAUACGUUAAAGUUUUCAAAUUUCAAAGCAAAAUUUAUAUUACUCGUUACUCAUUAUAUAUUUUUCAAUAGACGUCACAGAGACGGGCUGAGCUUGUACCGACUCCAAACAAUUUUCUUGAUAAUUGUAAAUGCCCAUAAGCAAUUUUUCAUUUAGUGUUAUCGUGGUUUAUGUGAUAAAAUAAGACUUUUCAGUUGAAUAUAUUGUUGAAGGAACGUACUAUUUAAGAGCUUUUUACUAGUUUAUCCCCAGGUUUUUAAGAUCUAGUACUGCUCCAGAAUGGGUAUGUGCUUUGUUCCAGACUGUAAACAUUACAGUUCAAACCAUUCAUGAAGUUAUGAAGUUUUUUUCGGUUCCCAAAAAACAAAACUGAGAGGAAUAGAUAGAUUUCUCUCAUAAGAAAAAAGAUAGAUCCAAGUGAAUUUGCAAAAGUGUGCGAUUAUCACUUUUUAAAUAAAGAAAAAAAGAAUGUGCCUUUAUUUGAUUUCAAUAUUCAGAAGAAGUUUAAUAUAAAAUCACCAGAAAAAAGGAAGCGAACUGUAAAAAACGGAACUACUACCAGGAUCUUCAACAGAACCAUUACCGGGUCCUUCAACCAAACUACUACCAGGGUCUUCAAAAUAAGAUCAUGAAAUGACUCAAAUUAAACUUGAUGCUACACUACUGAGUCCAUCAUAUUCAUUUCAAGAUGCUGACAACAAGGUUCAGAUAUGAAAUUGUGAAGAACAAAGGUGCUCUUGUACUAAUGUAUACUGGAAUUCCAACCAAUGAGCUGUUCAUGAUUCUUUUAGAACUAAUGGACAGCGUUAAAUUAAAAUAUUAUGCUCGGUGGGAUGUUCAGAUCGUUCCUAAAAUUGAUCAACUGUUUAUGACCUUAAUGAAGCUAAUGCUUAAUCUUCCACAUGAAGAUUUGAGUAUUAGAUUUAGUUGUAGUACAGCUACAGUGACCAAUAUUAUAAUGACGUGGAUUUAUGCUCUACAUGAAGUCUUUUUCAAUAAUUUGAUGAAAACUAUAUCAUCUAGACAAUGGAAUCAGGCCUGCCUCCCUAUUGCUUUUACGAAUUUUAAAAAUUGUAGAAUAAUUUUGGAUUGCACUGAAAUUUAUUCAGCAGUUCCAGCAAGCAUGGAAAACCAGAGAUUGACCUACAGUUCUUACAAACACUGACCACAUGAAAAAUGUUGGUAGGUGUUGCACCAAACGGUGUAAUCACCUUUGUUAGUAAGGCUUAUCCAGGGUCUACAUCUGAUAAAAAAAUGUAAGGAGUGUAAGGUUCUAGAUCUGAUGGUGGCUGGAGAUUUGAUAUUAGCAGAUAAAGGUUUCUUGUUUAAGGAACUUCUCCCUGCAGGAGUAUCAUUAAAUAUACCUCCAUUUUUAAUUAACAACACCACAGUUUACAGAAUCCCAAGUAUAUAAAACUCAAAUUGCAAAGGCUAGAAUUCAUGUAGAAUGGGCCAUCAGGAGAAUAAAGUGUUAUAAUAUUUAGUAGCAAGUUCCAUCAUAUUAUAUAUCACAAAUUUCAAUUCUUUCAACUGUGUGCAAUACACAAACUUGCAAUAUCCCCCAAUUAAAGAAGUUGAGGAGUAUUAUUGGUAGGAUCUAUACUGUAGGUUAUGCUGUUUAAUGUGAACUGAAUUGAUUAACCGUACGGAGUUGAGCCAAAGUACAUAGACAUAUUAUAAUUUCUGGUUUUAAAUAUUUUUUAUUGUAGCAAUAUAUUUCCUUAUUCGACUUUUUUUUGUAAAAAGUUUUUAUUUAAAAAAUGUAUACUUAGAUUUUACUUGAUUUAUAAAUGACUUGAUCUAAUACAAUUAUUGUUAAAAGUAAUAAUAAUACUGUUUUUCUAAUUUAAUAAAAGCCUGUAUACAACUACAAUUUUCAUAAAGUAAAAAAAUACAAUUUUAUUUCUUGUUAGUAGACUACAGUCUUUACAAUCUUCAAAUAAAUUAUUAAGUCACAA